AGCAAGACUCCGUCUAAAAAAAGAAAAAAAAAGAGGAUAGGAUUAGGGUGAGGGAUGAGAAAUUAUUUAAUGAGUACGAUGUACACUACUACACUCAAAGCCCAGACAUCACCACUGAGCAAUCAAUCCAUUUGACAAAACUGCACACCUGCACUUGUACCCCUUAAAUUUAUAUACAAACAAAAACAAAGGCAAAUCAAAAAUAAAAAUAAAACAAAAUGAUCUCUAAACAAUACAAACAGUAACUGAUGAACCUAGCUGCUUAUCAUGUCAGUUCCAAAAUCACACAGAGUUGAAUUUCUUUCAAAUGACCCUACAACACAGUAUUUUGAUCAUAUAUUCUCCAGUAGAGUAUAAGCUAAGGACAAAGAAAAACACAUGAAAUCUUAAAUGGUACUCGGUAGUUUUAUUGUUAAUAAUGAUGCUGGUAUUAUUAUUUUGAAACUCAUGUCCAUUUCUCAGCUGCCAUUUGAUAUUAAUUUUUUUUUUUUUUGAGGUGGAAUUUCACUAUCACUCAGGCUGGAGUGCAGUGGUGUGUUCUCAGCUCACUGCAACCUCCACCUCCUGGGUUCAAGCGAUUCUUCUGCUUUAGACUCCCAAGUAGCUGGGACUACAGGCACGUGCCACCACACCUGGCUAAUUUUUGUAUUUUUAGAAGAGACAGGGUUUCGCCAUGUUGGCCAGGCUGGUCUCGAGCUCCUGACUUCAGGUGAUCUGCCUGCCUCAGCCUUCCAAAGUGCUGGGAUUACAGGCGCGAGCCACUGCGCCCAGCCAGUGAUUUUUAACCUUUAUCAAUCUGAUAGACAAAAAGAUCAUUUCAUUGUUUUAACUUCUUUAAUUAUGAGUAAAUCUGGCAAUAUAUUAUGAAAACAAUGACAAGAAGAACUUGAUAUAAAAUGCACAAUUCAGACGUCCUUGAAGAUCAUUUUAGAGGCAGCAUGAAGUGGGGGGUGGCACUGGUGAUGGGGGCUGGGUGUGGAGAAAACCAGCCAAAGGAGGACUCAUGGGAUCCUGGAGCUUUUGACUGGGGUUCACUUGGAGCCCAUACUCAGGCUGGUUCUGACAGCAGCACCUGCCAGGCCUCAGCUUAGGGGCACAAUGUGGGACACAUGGACUGGGGGUGUGGUCCCAGAGCCUAAGAGGCACCAACAGAGAGGUCUCCGCAGAGACUCAUCUGUGCCCCCCACCCACCACCCCGGGACAGGCCAAGCCAGCGUCUGGCCAGGAACUGCUUUUGCACAAGGAGCCAGAAGUAGUUUGCCCCGAUAAAUGGGGGCCUGGACUCACGCAAACCAUUGCACCAUGGAUGGCCAGAGAAACUCAGAGAACCUUCCUGUGCUUGUUAACAUACUCUCUCACGUCCUCUGCAGCCUCUGCCAAGCCAAGCAGCCAGCUCCUAGGACUCCCCUCCCUCCACCUGAGGCUCCUUGUCCUCCCUUCCUCAGGAGUCUCCAGCCUCCCGGGACUUCCCCUCCCCGCUGCCCACUCCAGCAGAGGCUGCCAACUGCCUGGGAGAGAGAAGUGGGCUUCCUGGGGCCACCUCCCCAACUUUGGAGUGUUUGGAAGGUGAUGGAGCGACCACUAGGAGGCAGUGUGGACAGGUCUCUGUAGGACUGCUCAGGCAGACACCUUUGCAGGGACCUCCCAGGUCGGGAGCCCUCCACACUUUUCCCAUGGGAGCUUCUCCCUCCACCCCGAGUCACUACUAUCUGCUUUCCUAGAAGGCACUUCUUUACUUCUAAUUCUUCUCCACUGCCCAGAAUAAUGCUUCCAGUGAAAUGAGUCGGCCACAUGAGGUCACAAAGCCCCUACUCUGUUCAGCACCUGGGCUCCUGGUUUGUUAAGGCAAACCCCCAUCUCUGGCUUCUCCUGGAACCUCACCUGGGAAAGAAAGAGGCAGCCCCGGAGCUGGAAGCUGCUUCAGGGCUCACCCGGAACAGCAGACUCAACCUGGACCCAUCCAGGCAUCUCCUGGGAGUUUCACCCAAUUGCUUCUGCCUGGCACCAGCUCAGAGGUUCUGACAGAAUUGGCCUGGGGUGAGACCUGGCAUCCAUGGGAUUUUUACAAGCUUCCAGGUGAUUCUACAGGGAAGCCAAGCCUUCCAGGCCCCGGUGGGAUGAGACUUCCCUGCCCCCACGGUUGAGAGGAGCCAUGGGCUUAUUCUAGCCAAUGAAUGGUGGAUGGACGUGACUCGUGUCUCUUCCAGGCUGGAGCAUUUAAUUGUCCAGGUGAGAUACUCAGGGACUCGUCCCUCCAGAGCUGAGAAUGGCCAUGUUUCCAGAGGGUCUGCAGGAGCAACCUGAGUCUCAGAGCACAGCCACCAGCAGACCUGCUGCACGCAUGUGGCGGGGGAAAGAAAGAAAGCCAGCUGUCUGCAGCCACUGAGAGUUUGGGGUGGUUGUUUCUCAUGACAAAACCAGCUCACCCUGACUUAUACAAAGUCUUUGAGUUAUAUAGAUGGAGAAUGAGGCUCUUGGGUCCCUCUAUUCUCACAAAGCAAUAGCCUAGCUAAAUCCAUCUAACUAGGGAGCAGAAAAGGGGAUGUGCUGGCUUGCACACCCUAGACAGUUGUUCAAGAAGUCAGGACACCAGGCCUGGAGUGAUACUUCAGCCAUCCUUCUAGGUGAGGGUCUUGAGGCCACACAGACAGAAGUGGCAGAGAUGGGACACACAUUCGUCUUCUCACUCACAGUCUGGCACUGAGCUGUGGGCUGCUGGGACACCAUGCCCCCAUACGAGUAGCCUUCCCACUCCUUACCUUGAAGGAAAAGUGUUUUUUGGACAAAUACCUGAUGGAAACAUUACAUGGGCCUUGGAAUCUGUUAGAUCUAGCUUCCUGAAACUCUUGCUAGCUGUGUGACAAUAUACAAGUUUCUUAACCUCUCUGAGCCUCAGUGCUCUAAUUACACUCCCCUCAUAGAGUUUCUAAGAGCAUCCUGGGGCUGGCACGUGUCAACGCACCCAGUAUUUGAUAGAGUUUGUUAAACGUUGGUUAUCCUCUCUCCCUAUCGCACCUCAAAUGGUAAGGGCUGCCUGCCAGCUUCCAUAUCCCCAGCAGUGCCCUGAGUUGUUCAGAUGUUCAUCCAUCUCCCACAGAACUCAGGUUCCUUUGGAGGAAGCCACAUCAAGUCCUGCUCCAAGCUUAAGCCAGUCAGCACAUUCCAUGCUCUGCCCCAUUGCCAGGGUUCAGGAGUAUGCUCGUGAUCUAAGCACCCCCACUCCCAGAUACAGCUCAAGAUUCUUGCUUGGACUUCUGGGCACUCAGGCUCCUCCGAGAGGGAAUCAAACUUACUUCUCUCCAUGUCCUUUCCUCUAGGAGAUGCGUCUUUCAUAAAACUCUCAUCAACACUGUUCAGACAUGUCCCACCCCAGCAGGGGACAGCCUGGGCUCAAGCUGGGAUCCCUACUUUAUUUAUUUUCUGCUAAUUAAACUUCCUAAUAUACUCCACACUAAGUGUGCUUGCAAGGCAGGGGGUGUGGGAUAAGCGGCCCUGCCUGGCUGGGAGAGGGGGCAGCUCCCUGCUGUACUAUGUAUUAAUAAAGAGACACAUGCAUGGCAGGGCUUGUCUGGGCCUUGGUGGCAGCUUAGGACAGAAGGCACGUGACAGUCAGGGGUUCAAACAACCCAGGGAGAACACUGCUUCAGGGAAGACAGCUCAGCAUCUUCCUGGCAAAGAUAAUGACAUUGAUAAUACUCUCCAAAGAAUUUCAGGAUUUUGAGCAAUCAGAAAAGCAACACAGAAAUUCAUGUCAUCAAAACGAUAUGGCUCUAUUGGACACUUAAGACAUUUAUUGGAGGCUCAACAACAUAAUCCUGCUGGUUGGUUUUACUUCAUUGAUUUUCCGUUGUGUCUGAUUACAUUGCUAAUGCUGAUGGUGGAUGAGCUACGGCUCUUUUCCUGCCUGUCCUGAGGUUUAUCCACCAAUGUUUCAGUUCUGUUUUAAGAUAUUGUCCUAAGCCCCCAGCAUCGCAUGCAUGCUGUUUUUUUGUUUUGUUUUGUUUUGUUUUUUACAAAGAGUUCAUAGCCCGUGGAAGACUCUCCUCCAUCACACACUUAGGUUCCCUCCACACCAGGCCUGGAAGGAGUCUAGCUUCUGGGGACUGUACAUAUGCUGUGGACCAUGCAGAACCUGGAGAGGCGGUGACCCCUUCUAGAAGUGAUCUGCCUGAAUCCUUCCCUCUGGAGGAGGCAUUUAUUAAAUGCCAGGUUCCUGAAAGGCUCUGAGAUGGGCACUCCCUCUCCUGAGUCGUCCCUUCCAUUACUGCUUUCCUAUUUCUGGCCAGGGUUCCCUGGCCCCUCCUCCCUGCUCCCAUGGGACCCCAGUUCAUCCCCAUCUUUGCUCAAUUGCCCUGCACUGUAGUAAUCCAUUGGCACUCUUGUCUUCUCCAGGAGAAAUAGUUGGAGGAGAAGUUUAUAGGGUUUCCUGGGCCAGGGCUGGUCUACAGUCACUGGACAGCAGGAAACGACCCUUCGGGGCCUAGGAGGGCCAAGGCUGGUGGGCAGGUACAGGGGGAGCCAGCACUGCUGUCCACCACUGUGCAGCCUGGAGGCUGUUUCCCAUGACCCUGCUGAUGGGACCCAAGGCACCCCAGGCCACCCACUCCCCUGCCCCCAGCAGGGUGUCAGCUCCCCGGCUUCCCUGCAUGCCUGCCUGACAUGGACAGUGCACCUUCGGGCCACACUUGCCCUGCUAGCGAGCCUCCAGUGAACUGGGAAUUCCACAGAGUGUAGAGGACUCGCCCCAGCACUGUGCUGAGAGGCUUCACCAAACUGUAGCCUGGCUUCCACCUGCACUAAGCUGCAUCCCCAGAGGCGACCCCAGCCCUGGCUGAGUCUUGGCUCAAGACUUUGCAAUGCAGCCAAAUCACAAAAUGCACCUCGUCCAGCCCACCCCGCUAAACCAUUUUCAGUAGUUCUCCCCUCACCGUUCUGGAACUUUCCAUUUCCACGUGGCCCCCACGUUCUGUUUUCAUUUCUCCUUCAGUCCCUUUUUGUUCCCUUUCUGUUCUCUCUUUGAAGACCUCAGUCACCGUUUUCUGAGUUGGGGUUGAGCUUGGUCGGUACUGGAAUCUCUUUCCGCUGCUGCAGGAGUCUGAAGGAAUCAGUCUUGCCGCCUGUAACACAUGUCCAGCGCUGCUUUUUCUCUGAUGAGUGUCUUAGUCAGUUUGGGCUGUUAAAACAAAUGGCUUAGGCAACACACGUUUCUGUCUCACAGUUCUGGAAGCUGGAAGUCUGAGAUCAAGGUGUUGGCAGAUUCGGUACCCGGUGAGGACCUGCUUCCUGGUUCGCGGGUAGAACACUUCUUGCUGUGUCCUCACAAGGUGCAGAGAGAGAGGGGGGUCUGGUGUCUCUUCCUGUAAGGGCACUGAUCCCAUCAUGGGGGCCUUACAAUCGCGACCUCAUCUAAACCUCCCGAAACCUCAUCUAAAUCUCACCUCCAUACUAUCACAUUGGGGAUUAAGGCUUUAACAUGUGGAUUUCAGGGGACAAAGGACAAAAGCAUUCAGUCCAUGGCACAUGCUCAGUGCCUCGACUCUUGCAAGUGCCACACCACAGCCUCUCUGGGGCUGUGUCCUGGAGGCGUGUGCCAUGGGCCCUGUGUGCCAUGGGCAAGGCGCACAGCAUCCUCCCGGCCACCCCACCAGCGAGUGAGCUCCUGGCACCCUGGCUCUCUCUGGUCACCCAUCUACCAGUCUUGGUGCUCCUGUGCACUAGAGGACCAGCUGCCUGGGGACUGUGGGCCAACUGUGGCCCCGGCCACCCACGAACUUCCCCUCCGGCCAGUGGCUGCAAUCACAUCUUCUCUAAAGACGUCUGAAGCCCAGCCUUGGGGAGCCGAGUUGGUCCUUCCCUGGGUACUGAGCCCUAGGGAACCCUUGAGAGUUCUCUUUGUAUCUUUGUAGUUUCUUCCUCACCACUUAAUCAUUUCCUUACAGGAAACUUCCUGUGUUCAAGUGACUGUAUGGUUUCUGCCUCCAGCUUCAUUUGUGGGUGCCAUAAGAGAGGCAAGCAUGGAGCACUAGGCGCAGGGGAUGGGCAACUGGCAAGCGGGGAGAUGCAUGCAGCGCACUUAGUGCCUGGUACAUACCAAGUCCUUUUAGUCUGGAUUUCAUUAUUUUUAAAUGGGUAUUGCUAUUUUUAAAAGAAUAGUUACAAAUAUUUAUUGUGUGUUUUGAAAUAAGUGGGUCAAGAUCAAUAAGAUAUUGUUGAUCAAUUGAUCAAUAAGAUAUCUUUUAUUCUUAAAAAUCAUAUUCUUCUGGUUCAGUGGGGAAGAGACUGCCGACCUGUAUUUACAGCAUUAUGUGAUAAGUGUUCUCCUUUUCAGGUAUGUAUUAGUCUGUUCUCAUGCUGUCAAUAAAGACAUACCUGAGACUGGGUAAUUUAUAAAGGAAAGAUGCUUAAUUGACUCACAAUUCCUCAUGGCUGAGGAGGCCUCAGGAAACUUACAAUCAUGGCAGAAAAGGAAGCAAGCAUAUCCUUCUUCGCAUGAUGGCAGGAAGGAGAAAUACAGAGCAAAGUGGGGAAAGCCCCUUAUAAAACCAUCAGAUCUUGUGAGAACGCAAUCACUAUCAAGAGAACAGCAUGGAGGUAAUUACCCACCGGCUCCCUCCCAUGACGCAUGGGGAUUAUGGGAACUAUAGUUCAAGAUGAGAUUUGAGUGGGGACACAGGCAAACCAUAUCAAGGUGACUCCUGCAAGCACCUACCUCCACCCCUCCUUCAUCCUUGCCCUCAUUCUACAAUGAUUUGGUGAAAUCUGGUCCCUGCCUCAGUUUUACAGCCUCCCCAUGACUCUGGUUACUUCCUGAUUAGCUUAAACGAAACCUAACUAGGUUGCCCUAGGAAAGCAUUUCUGUUCCUGACACCCCCCAUCUGCCUGCUGCUUCCGUUCCACCUGUAUGUGUCUGGGCACAUCCCUGCAUCCCUUUGCUGGCUUCUAGCCUACUCACUUCAAGCAUUUAUCCCAUGAGUUUCAUAAAAUCGUAGAAGAAAAGGGCUUGAGGCAGUGGUGGGGAAAUGAUAGGAAAGUCAUUUCUGGAUGCAUUCUGCCAUCCUGCAGAUCCCUAAACCACCUCUCCCUCUCCAUUCCCUCCCUCCAGAGAACAGCUUCUCCUUGUCUCCUGUGGAAUAGUUCCGCCCACAUUCAUGGGCCCUUCCUGUACCAAAACUGUACAGGUCUCUCUUGCUUACCAAACACUUGGCAAACAAAUGUGCCGUCCUUGGAAAAAUUCUGUUGAAUAAAAUUUUCUCUCUUUGAUCCA